GACGAACGCUGGCGGCGUGCUUAACACAUGCAAGUCGAACGGAAAGGCCCUUCUUGGGGGGUGUUCGCGAGGGGCAAGCGUGUGUGUAACACGUGUGUAACCUGCCCUUGACUGUGGUAUAACUUCGGGAAACUGGGGCUAAUAGCAUAUAGGAUCUCCUGCUACAGUGUGGGGGGGGGAGAGUUUCGGCGUUUGGGGAUGGACGCGCGGCUUCUAAGCUUGUGGGUGGGGGAGUGUCUUACCAAGUCUUUGGCGGGGAGCCGGCCUGAGAGGGUGACCGGCCAAAUGGGGACGGAGAUACGGCCAAGCCUCCUCGGGGAGGAAGAAGUGGGGAAUAUGGAAAAAUGGGGGGAAGCCUGAUGAAGCAACGCCGCGUGCGGGAUGACGGCUUUCGGGUGGUAAACCGCUUUCGCCUGUGACGAAGCGUGAGUGACGGUAAUGGGUAAAGAAGCACCGGCUAACUACGUG
rnacentral:rRNA from 1 species